AUUGAACGCUGGCGGCAGGCCUAACACAUGCAAGUCGAGCGGAUGAGUGGAGCUUGCUCCAUGAUUCAGCGGCGGACGGGUGAGUAAUGCCUAGGAAUCUGCCUGGUAGUGGGGGACAACGUUUCGAAAGGAACGCUAAUACCGCAUACGUCCUACGGGAGAAAGCAGGGGACCUUCGGGCCUUGCGCUAUCAGAUGAGCCUAGGUCGGAUUAGCUAGUAGGUGAGGUAAUGGCUCACCUAGGCGACGGUCCGUAACUGGUCUUAUAGGAGGAUCAGUCACACUGGAACUGAGAUACGGUCGAGACUCCUACGGGAGGCAGCAGUGGGGAAUAUUGGACAAUGGGCGAAAGCCUGAUCCAGCCAUGCCGCGUGUGUGAAGAAGGUCUUCGGAUUGUAAAGCACUUUAAGUUGGGAGGAAGGGCAGUAAGUUAAUACCUUGCUGUUUUGACGUUACCAACAGAAUCAGCACCGGCUACCUUCGUGCCAGCAGCCGCAGUAAGAC
rnacentral:rRNA from 1 species